GCACAAAGGAUAGCUCAGUUUGGUAGAGCAGAUGACUGUUAAUCAUCGUGACGCGGGUUCGAAUCCCGCUCCAGCGCUCCG
rnacentral:tRNA from 1 species